rnacentral:rRNA from 1 species
CCCUUAGAUGUCCUGGGCCGCACGCGCGCUACACUGACGGAGCCAGCGAGCUUACCCCUUUGCCGAAAGGCAUGGGAAAUCUUUUGAAUCUCCGUCGUGCUGGGGAUAGAUCAUUGCAAUUAUUGAUCUUGAACGAGGAAUUCCUAGUAAGCGCAAGUCAUCAACUUGCGUUGAUUACGUCCCUGCCCUUUGUACACACCGCCCGUCGCUACUACCGAUUGAAUGGCUUAGUGAGGUCUUCGGACUGGACUUCGGGGAGCCGGCAACGGCACCCUGUCGCUGGGAAGUUGAUCAAACUUGGUCAUUUAGAGGAAGUAAAAGUCGUAACA